UUCCGUGCUGAUUUUGGCGCCGAUUCGUUUUGCAUUUCAGAGGCGGCGAGGGUGGUGGGAAGGGGGGCGGAAGGCAGUCGCCUCGCUGAGAAGAUGGGCGCGGUCAGGGACGGCUACGGCAUGGGCUUGUUGCAGACCGCGGCCCUAGGCGGGAGCCUGCCCGUGUGCCGCUACCUUGUCGAGGACAUCCGGCUGGAUGUCGAUGACGUAGGCCCGAUGGGCGAAACACCUUUGACUGUUGCGAUUGGCUGUCAGAAUGUGGAUUUGGUGCGUUACUUUCUUGAUCAAGGUGCUGCUACAAUGAAGCUCAACGACAGUGGGAGUACUCCUCUCCACCUUGCUGCUGCAGAAGGAAGCUGUGAAAUAGUUGAGCUCUUACUCUCCAGUGGAGCUUAUGUUGAUGCAAUACAUCUUGGUGGGACGGCACUGCAUUCUGCUGCACGUAAUGGGCGGGAUGAUAUUGUGAAAAUUUUGCUAGAACACCAUGCAGAUCAUAAGAUAGCUUUGGGUGGUACUGGUUAUACAGCUCUUGCAAUUGUGCUACUGUUGUGCACUCACUGAAAUGUGUGAAGCUCCUGCUUGAGGCUGGUGCUGAUGUGGAUGGUAAUUGUAAAGAGACACCAUUAAUCAUUGCUGCCAUUAGUGCCUCAACUGAAAUCCUGAAGUGCUUAGUUCUGGCUGGUGCGGAUGCUAAUGUUCCUGACAGUCUAGGACGAGCUCCUAUUGAAAUUGCUGCCCGCUCUGGUAGGCGUGAAGAUGUUGAGAUUCUAUUUCCAGUCACUUCUUGUAUUCCAAAUGUACGUGACUGGAGUGUAGAUGGGAUCAUUAGGCGUAAAAUCAGCGCGCCCAGCGAAGGUAAAGCCAUGCUUACUAGUGCAAAAUCUAAAGCGCAUGAGGCAUUCAAGAACGGGAACUAUUAUCUUGCAGCAAGAAUUUACAAAGAGGCAAUGGCACUUGAUCCUGGUAAUGCAACCUUGCUUUCAAAUAGGAGCCUAUGCUGGCUUCGCCUCAGGUGAUGCAAAGAACGCCUUGAAUGAUGCUCAAGCUUGCAGUAUGAUGCGGCCUGGCUGGCCAAAGGCCUCAUAUCGUGAAGGAACUGCUCUAAUGUUACUGAAGGACUAUGAAAAGGCAUGUGGUGCAUUUCUUGACGGUCUUAAACUGGAGCCCAGGAACGUAGAGAUGGAAGAUGGAUUACGGCAGGCUUUGGAAUCCUUGAAGAUAUAUCGCAGUAGCCCUGGGCAAGACUAGCUGGAUGAGCAUCAAGUAGAUGCGAGAAACUUGUAGUUACCAGACUUACACUGCUCACUGGAGAGACGGAGGUGCCCUGUUUUUCUGUCUCAUAGGCCCAUAAACUUAGAGAUUGGGUAGUUUGGAUGGCCUUCCGCUGAUCAUCAUCAGAUACCUUCCUCACUGGAUGCUCGAGACCGUUCUGCUGAUUGCGAUUUCGGGAGCAAAUGCUGUUCAGUAUGCAGCAUUUUUUUUCUAUGGUUCCGUGGAUAGGGAAACAUUUCUACCAUGGACAUUCCUAGUAAUAGCCUCUUAACUGACAGUAUUACCAGAUUGACGUUGAAUGCCUGUGUCUUGCUUCAGAUCUCUUGUCAAGCUAAAGAUCAUUGCCCAUAGACUUUGAUCAAUGUAGGUGGGGCAUAGGGCAAGUAAAACCGAACCUUGGAGCUUGUAUGGUCAUGAUUGUUAGGAGACUUUGCUGGCGACGAACUGUUGAGCUUUACAUGAUUUGCGUCAAUGUAUAUUCUCUAGAAACUGGCAUGUGUAGUGUAACAGUAUAGUAAAGAUGUUCCCUCGGAAAAAGAGAAAAACAGUG
rnacentral:rRNA from 1 species